rnacentral:rRNA from 1 species
AACGUAGGGCGCGAGCGUUAUCCGGAUUCACUGGGCGUAAAGCGCGUUGAGGCGGCUCCGUAAGUUGGGCGUGAAAGCCCCGGGCUGAACCCGGGGAGGCCGUCCAAUACUGCGGGGCUUGAGGGCAGCAGAGGGAGGUGGAAUUCCCGGUGUAGUGGUGAAAUGCGUAGAUAUCGGGAGGAACGCCCGUGGCGAAGGCGGCCUCCUGGGCUGCUCCUGACGCUGAAGGCGAAAGCCAGGGGAGGGAACGGG